GUAGGUGGCAAGCGUUGUCCGGAAUUAUUGGGGCGUAAAGCGCGCGCAGGCGGUCCUUUAAGGUCUGAUGUGAAAGCCCACGGGCUCAACCGUGGAGGGUCAUUGGAAACUGGGGGACUUGAGUACAGAAGAGGAAAGCGGAAUUCCACGUGUAGCGGUGAAAUGCGUAGAGAUGUGGAGGAACACCAGUGGCAAAGGCGGCUUUCUGGUCUGUAACUGACGCUGAGGCGCGAAAGCGUGGGGAGCAAACAGGAUUAGAUACCCUGGUAGUCCACGCCGUAGACGAUGAGUGCUAAGUGUUAGGGGGUUUCCGCCCCUUAGUGCUGCAGCUAACGCAUUAAGCACUCCGCCUGGGGAGUACGGCCGCAAAGGCUG
rnacentral:rRNA from 1 species